UGGGGAAUAUUGCACAAUGGGCGAAAGCCUGAUGCGCAACGCCGCGUGAGUGAUGAAGGUCUUCGGAUUGUAAAGCUCUGUCUUUUGGGACGAUAAUGACGGUACCAAAGGAGGAAGCCACGGCUAACUACGUGCCAGCAGCCGCGGUAAUACGUAGGUGGCGAGCGUUGUCCGGAUUUACUGGGCGUAAAGGGUGCGUAGGCGGAUGUUUAAGUGAGAUGUGAAAUACCCGGGCUUAACUUGGGUGCUGCAUUUCAAACUGGAUAUCUAGAGUGCAGGAGAGGAGAAUGGAAUUCCUAGUGUAGCGGUGAAAUGCGUAGAGAUUAGGAAGAACACCAGUGGCGAAGGCGAUUCUCUGGACUGUAACUGACGCUGAGGCACGAAAGCGUGGGUAGCAACAGGAUUAGAUACCCUGGUAGUCCACGCCGUAAACGAUGAGUACUAGGUGUAGGAGGUAUCGACCCCUUCUGUGCCGCAGUAAACACAUUAAGUACUCCGCCUGGGAAGUACGAUCGCAAGAUUAAAACUCUAAAGUGAAUUGAC
rnacentral:rRNA from 1 species